GGGCCCGCACAAGCGGUGGAGCAUGUGGCUUAAUUCGAGGCAACGCGAAGAACCUUACCUGGUCUUGAAAUAUAUCGGAUCGCCUGUGAAAGCAGGUUUCCCUUCGGGGCUGAUAUACAGGUGCUGCAUGGCUGUCGUCAGCUCGUGCCGUGAGGUGUUCGGUUAAGUCCGGCAACGAGCGCAACCCGUGUCGUCAGUUGCCAGCAGGUAAAGCUGGGGACUCUGGCGAGACUGCCUGUGUUAAGCAGGAGGAAGGCGCGGAUGACGUCAAGUCAGUAUGGCCCUUACGACCAGGGCUGCACACGUGCUACAAUGGGGGGUACAAUGGGAUGCGAUGUCGCGAGGCGGAGCAAAUCCACAAAACCUCUCUUAGUUCAGAUUGCAGUCUGCAACUCGACUGCAUGAAGUUGGAAUCGCUAGUAAAGGCGUAUCAGCUACGACGCCUUGAAUACGUUCCCGGGCCUU
rnacentral:rRNA from 1 species